rnacentral:rRNA from 1 species
GCGGACGGGUUAGUAACGCGUGGGAACGUGCCCUUCUCUACGGAAUAGUCCCGGGAAACUGGGUUUAAUACCGUAUACGCCCUUCGGGGGAAAGAUUUAUCGGGGAAGGAUCGGCCCGCGUCUGAUUAGAUAGUUGGUGGGGUAAUGGCCUACCAAGUCGACGAUCAGUAGCUGGUUUGAGAGGAUGAUCAGCAACACUGGGACUGAGACACGGCCCAGACUCCUACGGGAGGCAGCAGUGGGGAAUCUUAGACAAUGGGCGCAAGCCUGAUCUAGCCAUGCCGCGUGAGUGAUGAAGGCCUUAGGGUCGUAAAGCUCUUUCGCUGGGGAAGAUAAUGACUGUACCCAGUAAAGAAACCCCGGCUAACUCCGUGCCAGCAGCCGCGGUAAUACGGAGGGGGUUAGCGUUGUUCGGAAUUACUGGGCGUAAAGCGCGCGUAGGCGGAUUGGAAAGUUGGGGGUGAAAUCCCGGGGCUCAACCCCGGAACGGCCUCCAAAACUAUCAGUCUAGAGGUCGAGAGAGGUGAGUGGAAUUCCGAGUGUAGAGGUGAAAUUCGUAGAUAUUCGGAGGAACACCAGUGGCGAAGGCGGCUCACUGG